AGUUGCGUAGGUGGCAGAGUAAGUAGAUAGUGAAAUCAUGUGGCUCAACCAUAUAGACAUUAUCUAAACUGCUCAGCUAGAGGACGAGAGAGGUACCUGGAAUUCCCAGUGUAGGAGUGAAAUCCGUAGAUAUUGGGAGGAACACCAAUGGCGUAGGCAGGGUACUGGCUUGUUCCUGACACUCAGGCACGAAAGCGUGGGGAGCGAACUGGAUUAGAUACCCAGGUAGUCCACGCCGUAAACGAUGGAUGCUAGCAGUUUUCCGUAUCGACCCGGGAAGUUGCGAAGCUAACGCGUUAAGCAUCCCGCCUGUGGAGUACGGCCGCAAGGCUAAAACAUAAAGGAAUUGACGGGGACCCGCACAAGCGGUGGAGCGUGUUGUUUAAUUCGAUGAUAAGCGAAGAACCUUACCCAGGUUUGACAUCCUACUAAUUUCUGCGAAAGCAGAGAGUGUCUUCGGACCGUAGUGACAGGUGAUGCAUGGCCGUCGUCAGCUCGUGUCGUGAGAUGUUUGGUUAAGUCCAUCAACGAGCGCAACCCUUAUAGUUAGUUGGAUUUCUCUAGCUAGACUGCCCCGGUAACGGGGAGGAAGGAGGGGAUGAUGUCAGGUCAGU
rnacentral:rRNA from 1 species